UCUGUGGGGAGGGGUCGGGACUAUUUGAGGCAGUCGGGAGGAGCGACUGCGGCUUCAGGGGGCGGUUUGGGGCUUCGUGAGGAGGGUUUGGGGCUCCAAGGGGAGCGAGAGAGGUGGUGUCGGGGCUCUGUGAGGAGGGUUUGGGAUGCCAUGAGGGCGGUUUUGGAGCUCUAGGGGAAGUUUGAGGUGUCUGAUGGGGCUCAGCCCUGCGAGGAGACCUGAGGUGUGGGAUGAGACGGGCCCAGGGCUGGAGACUGGGAGGAGGUGGAGGACGAAGAGAAGGCUGAUAGGCAGUGGGAGUUGGGUGCUGGGUGAUGGGGCUUGGUGGUAGCAGAAUUGGAUGAGGAACAGCAUCAGGAAGGCAGCUUGGGCUGGAUGAGGCCACGCUGGGACUGGGAUAGGGGCAGGAGCACAGGGAGAUGUGGCACAGAGGUAGGGAUGAGGGGUGUCAGCCCCAUGAGGUUCAUGUCCCAGCAAGGAUCAGCCCCGCUGCCCUCCCGUCCUCAGAGAGCACGGCAGCAGUGCCUGGGACCCUCAGCACCUCCAUUCCUUCAGUUGCCUUGUGCCUGAGGAUCUAUUUCUGCCAUGGGAGUAUGAGUUUGCUCCACCAGGUCAAGGGUGGCAGUUCUUGGAGCAAAUACGACCACUUGUUAUGAUGGAGCACCUGGAGGACCGUGUGCCUGUGAGCUGAGAUGGAUAUUGAGCAAUAAAAAUGCAAAAGGAAGCCAGGAUCAUGUGAUUGUGUUGGACUAGGAGAAGGCACCAAGUCCAUCCUCACCACCAGGCAACUGCAGCCAAUGGACUGAGAUCACGGAUGAAUUUGGCCAGGGAUAGUUAAGAGGCUGAUGUUCCCUGUUUGCCAGAUGCAGCGUGGUGGCACGACUUUGAUCUCAUCACUUGCCUUUGAACAAUUUGCAAGCCCUGAAGCUCUUUGCUUUCCUUGAAUGCUAUUGCUUUUGGAGGCUCUGCCUGCUAGCUCAGCACCGGGCUCUAGGCCUAAGGAAACAUGACCUAAAGUCUCAUAAAGAUCGGUCUCCACACCCUUAAACUCCGUGAUAAAACUGUUUCUAGUCAUCUGAGGAUCUUCCAGCCUCCACAGAAUCGGAAUUUCCAGAAGUUUGCUGAUGAGACAGAACAUGAUGGGAACCUGUUCUCCCUGCACAUAACUACGAAAACAGCGCGAUCACGGAACGUCCCCCACCAGGCUCCUGCCACCCAGCUUGGCCUCUUCUGCAGCCCCCGGCCCCCAGCAGCAGCGUGUGAUCCUGCAGCCUUCAGGGUCAGGAAGGACCCAAGAAUUGCAGCUCAGCAAUCUGUCCAAGCUACCGAGCAGCCAAGUGGGGAUUUUGCUUCGUGGAAGGCUCUUGGUCCACGCAGACAGGCUCUGAAGUUCCUGAGCAAAACAAAUAGCUCCAAAAUAGAGCAGGUUUAGCAUGGCGAAGGAUUUUGUUCUUCAAGUAUUUCCUUGCAGCAGCCAUGCACUUCUAGAGCGCAGCCAUUUUCCCCUUGCUAAUGGCUCAACAUGAGUCUUGGCUGCAGCACUGAGCAAGACACAUGAGUGUGGUUGGGUAUUUGCAACCAAGGAGUCAGUUUGUGUCUUCAGUGCUUGGUCACUGGCAGAAAGUUCUGGUGUUUGUUGGGCAUAAGAGCUCUGCCAUGGUCAACAGGCUCUCAGGCUGACUCUAAGUUUGUAGCAAAGAAGUUUGUUUGGGGACUGCACAGGGCUCGGUUCUCUGCAUUCCAGAAGGAAGGUGAAUUUUUAAGUAAAGUAAGUCUUGCAUGUUCAAAAAUGAAUGCAUUCAGUUUUGUUCUUUAGAGCGCGUGCUUGUAAUGUGACAGUGUAUGCUACGUGCUUCCUGCAAGCUAAUGGUUCCCGCUUCUCGUGCUUUCCUUUCUUGGUACAGAUCUGUAGCUGGCAUAUAGGAAAGCUGUCCUGCCCUGUUUGGAGGAAAGGUGAAUCUUGCCUAGUGAAGGAAAGGAAGGAGCAUUUGGAAACGCACACUCAACUGGAUAGCACACAGAUGACAACAGCCUGCCCGCAAUGCCUGUGCUGAUCCUCACAAGCAGUAAAGCAGGGUGCUGAGAACCACAGCCACAGCAGAACUCCAGCUCCAAACGGCCACCCUGAAUCAGGGCUGGCAUUGCUUCCAGCACGGACAGAGAAAGAGCCAUUAACCCUGAGCAGCGCAUGCAGAUCUGGGGCUGCUCUCAGCCUGGGCCCACUGAUUCCCUUUGGUAGGUGCUGGGACAGUGGUGAGUUGGGCAAACACAGCACAGGGCAGAAGAGCCGAGCACAGUUCAGAGUGUUACAGGAGGCAGGGGCUAAAGCAGCAUUGAUUGCUCUAUGGUAGAAUGAAUACAUUAUGCAAAGCCUGACUCUGUAAAAACCCGGGAAGCAGUACUGUCUGGGUCUAUGUGAAAUAACCAUAUCGUUCCUAUUACACCUGAGCACCACGCAGCAGCCUGGGCAGUGAUAACAUUUUCUGACCACUGUCUGAAAUUAUGUUUUAUGGGUCAGGAGCAUCCCAGCAACACAGCAAAACCUUUUGCAUGAGAGAAAAGAGAGAAUGCAGCUGAGAAUCGGUGUCUGUGGAAAUUUGCUAUGGAUGGGCAUCUACAAGGAUGGAUGCAUCUUGGGCAGACGCCGUUGUAAAAAGACAAAGAUCCACAUAUGGGCCCCAGAAAUGCUACAAAAUGGUCCCAGAGCUUUCUCAAAGCAGAUUUUCCAAUUCUGCUUGAUUUUUUUUAAUUUCUUUCUGAGACUUUUCCAGCAUCUCUCAUAGAGGCUUAUAAUCUAUCUCCUUGAUCAUUCUCACGCCUUCUGGUCUCCAACUCACUGCUGCUCAUAUCGCUCCGAAUGGAGAAGUAGCACACUGUUCCCAUCUGAUCCUACACCUGCUAAUCUCGACAAGCUAAAAAGCCACAUAUGUGGUAAACACAUUAAGAAGCACCAAAAGGAGAGUGUGUGGGGCUAAGGUGAAGAGACAGGACUGCGUGUGAUUGGAAAUCAAGCUAAGAAUAUGCACUGGGAGUCACGCCAUUACAAUGACGGUACCGGUUUCACCAUGGCAUAGCUCAUUCUGAGGUCUGAUUUGUAUCAGCACACGUAGAAGGAUAUUUGGAGUGUGCCUGCUCAAAGUGGAAGUGAUUUAGAGUGAUUCUUCACAAGACAGUCAUUUACUAUUAAAAAAAAGUCAUUGAUUACAAGAUCAGCAUUCGCCAGGUCACUAGCUGCUAGUAAAAAUCAGGGAUUUGGGGCAAAUCUUAUCUUCCCAGCUGCUUACUGUGAAGCCCUGAGAAUAGUUAUUUAUCUCUCAUUGGUAAAAGGGGGGAUACCUGCUGCUUUGGGGCAGUGCAUGGAGUUCUUGGACGUGGCCGUCUUGUGCUUCUGGGAGCUCCCAGCAGCUCCCUGUGCUUGGGUAGUGCCAGCCAUGGAAAUGCAUCACCUGGAGAUGCGGCGUUGGUGCAGUGGGAACCGGGCACCGUGAACACAGAAGGUCAAAUAGAUGCUGAUCUUUGGCAGGGAAUGAAAAUGCGUGCUCUCAGGCACUGGGAAAGCUUCAUAAGGAACCCCGUGAUGCUGUAAAGCUUGCUGAAGAAUCUCCAAAUGGAUGCUUACCAGUGUAUUUGAAAUGAGUUCUGCUUUGGGCUGUAAGGCUUUAAAUACCUGCAUCCUGAAGAAGAUGAGGGGACGUACAAGAAAGUGACUGAUCCCAAAGCAAACCCUUUCCUUCUCUGACGUGCCACGUAAGUUUCUGUUGAUCAGACUUGACUGAUGUCAGUAGAGUGAAUGGGCUCCUGCAGUUCCUUUGAAAUCCUCACCUGUACCUUUCUGGGAACUUUAUUUGUGGAAAAGUGCACUGGCAAGCUGUCCUUUCUAGUUAUCCCCUGCCACAAACUUUCUUCUCAUAAAAGAGGAACGGGAACGGAUUCUCAGCUGCUCUGGUCAUGUCACACAGCAGAUCUAUCAACUCAAGGAAGCUGAUCUUUAUUUAGAUUAAAACCAAUGUUGGUUUACAAAAUCUAGAGUAGAAUUUUCUGCUGGAUUCCCUGCUGCACUGGUUACCCCAGUGUGACUCGUUAGAAACUUCUGUGCUGGGGCACUCGGGAGCAGAGAGAUCGCUCCAUUACAAACCAUGGUUUGAAAUAUCUUGGCUCUUGCUGCUGAGGAACGUUAUAAAUACUGUUCCCAGGACAAACAUUCUCCAUAUCUGAGAGCUAAUGAGCCAAACAGCUGCUCUGAGGCUAUCCACCUCUGACACCAGUAAACACUAAGCCAUGUGAAAAAGAUUUUAACGUGCCCAGACACUCCAAUAUAGAAGUUGUAUGUGUGUCUGAAACACAGUGUUCUCACCCCUUCCAUUUUGCACCUUCAAAAGAAAAAGCCCUUUAGGGUCUUGGACACCUGUAACUGUCAGAACAAAACCCGCACAGCCCAUCAUCCCUUUCACACUGGUGCAAAUGCAGCUGCUGUCAACAAAGUGCAAUGUGUUUAAGGAAAGGAAGAGAGCAUGAAGUGUCACAAGCAUCUAUCUUAGGAAAGCAUGUGCUUUUUUAAGGGUCCAUCUGCAACGUGAUGGAGUAUUCAUUGAUAUCCUCUGGCUCUCUGAGCAGCUUCAAGUCAAAAACACCAGUAAAUCCAGUAUAACUGUCUGAAUAAACUGGGCUUAGGACUGCUUUGCACAACCAGGGCAGAGAAAGGUGUCCAGGCUCGUGCUGGUGCAUCUGAGCUAAGGAGUUUGUAACGAGGACCUGGGAACUGUUUGAAGAAUCAAAUAACAUUGCCUGCAGAUUUAUGGCAGCGCAACACAAAUGUCCCAGAUUCACUUCAGAAGUGACACUGACGAGAGAUGGUGCCGUAUGACAAACCGAAGUUGGUCUGAAAAAGGAUGCCCGUCAUUUUAUGGUGGAUCUUGCCGUCGCAAGGAGCUGGGUGAGUGUGCAAGUUGGAACGUCUGAGUUGGAAUCUGCUUACAGCUACCCUUUGGGAGGCUCACGAGCCUUUCUCCCAUGACUUUUUUCCAUCCAGUGCUGUCAGCCCCCAAAUUCUAACCAGUGGUACAUUGAAACUGAGCCAAAUGCAAUCACAACUCGUUGUUCAUGAUCAGGUCUAAGAAGAGAACAAGCUUUGCUGUCCGGUAGACCUCACAACCACCCCUGAUUCAUGGAAAUGGGCAGGAUGCAUUCUCCUUCUGGGCUUUCCUGGCUCUUGCCCUUUAAAUUCAAUGGAAUUACUCUCGAUUUACACCCGCGUGAGUGGAGCAGAAUCACUCCCUUUUCUCCAGCAAAACAAACAUUUGUUACUUAGAAAGAAAAACAGUGGAAUCUUAAAAUGCGAUCCAAAGCUGAGCGGAAAUUCUCAGUAACACAAGAAUUUGGGUUUCUCCAGUUUGUAAACACGGGAGGAGGGAGCACAUUGAUGAGUGCUGCAGGGACUGGGGGGGGACUGGGGUGGCUGUAACUGGGGUCGUUCUGCCAUGGGCACAGCAUCCAGGGCAGAUGAGGGGGUCCUGGAGGAGUGGUAAUGGGAGAGGGCUGAGCUCUGGGAAUGCAGGCUGUGGUUUAUCCGCUGGCUAAGCCCUCGGUCAGGCCAAAAUCUUGAUGCCAGCAACCCCAGCUCCUGGAAGAAACUGAGAUCCAGAGCUGGACUGAAGGAAGUGAGGGGUCUACAGAUGCAGACAAACACUUAGAGUCAAUUCUGAAAGCACCCUAGUGCUCUGAGUGCCCAAAGCCUGAGGGACUCCACUGGUGCAGACUGGUGCAGACCUCCCAAGGCUUCCCUCUGCUCAGCCUUUGCUGGCUCUCUUCAGAUCUCAGCUUCCCACAGCUCUCAUAAAUAAACUCCAUGCUCACCAAUACCGGAUAGUUUUGAUUGCUUCCCCUCCAUAAAUAUACCAGCAUUAUUUUCAAUGCCAAUUUAGCUUAAGCUGAGCUGCAGAGCUCCCUGAAGCUGUCAGUCGUGUAUGGAGAACCCAGAGCAGCUUCCCUCCACCUAGGGUGAAGAAAUGCACACACACAUUCACUCUCACACUACUUGCUUAGCACA